UACGUAGGGUGCAAGCGUUGUCCGGAAUUAUUGGGCGUAAAGAGCUCGUAGGCGGUUUGUCGCGUCUGCUGUGAAAACCCGAGGCUCAACCUCGGGCCUGCAGUGGGUACGGGCAGACUAGAGUGCGGUAGGGGAGACUGGAAUUCCUGGUGUAGCGGUGAAAUGCGCAGAUAUCAGGAGGAACACCGGUGGCGAAGGCGGGUCUCUGGGCCGUAACUGACGCUGGAGGAGCGAAAAGCGUGGGGAGCAAACAGG
rnacentral:rRNA from 1 species